UACGGGGGGGUGCGAGCGUUGUCCGGAAUCACUGGGCGUAAAGGGCGCGUAGGUGGUCUGAUAAGGGUGUGGUGAAAGCCCGGGGCUCAACCCCGGGUCGGCCGUGCCGACUGUUAGACUAGAGUACUGUAGGGGCAGGCGGAAUUCCGGGUGUAGCGGUGAAAUGCGUAGAUAUCUGGAGGAACACCGGUGGCGAAGGCGGCAUCCUGGACCGGCAUUGACGCUGAGGCGCGAAAGCCAGGGGAGCAAACGGG
rnacentral:rRNA from 1 species